rnacentral:rRNA from 1 species
UUGACUAAAGAUAAUUUGGCAAAGCGUAGUUGGGAGUGUAGUAAACAGUGUUGCUUUUGUGAUCAGGAUGAAUCAAUCCAACAUCUGUUUCUCGAAUGCCCACUAGCCAAGUCACUGUGCCGCACAGUGCAUGUGACCUUUAGUGUCAGUCCUCCUAAUAUCAUAAUCAUUUUAUUUGGGACUUUGUUAAACAGGAUAGAGCCUAAAUUAGCGGCGCAUAUUCGAGUUGAAGUGUGUAUAUUACUUUGGGUCAUAUGGAACUAUCAGAAUGAUGUAAUUUUUAACAUACAAAACAUCACCAACUUUUUGCAAGUCAUCUGA